rnacentral:sRNA from 1 species
UUUACGCAGCGAGAAAGUUACGAGGUCCGUGGUCGCGUUUCCUCCAGGCAGCUGGCGCUGGGGUCUUCGGCGUCACGUGCUGGUCUGGAUUUUUCUCGAUGCACAGGGGAAAGCGCUGGACUUUUAUCGUGGGAGGGCUCUUGAUCUGUGAUUUAUAGCUAGGCACAGCUACUCCCGUUCGGGAACCCAACGGCAGUCAGGUCCUAGUGCCCAUUAGAUACCCGCGGCCGGGACUCGGAGCUGUGGGGUGUCGGGAGGCGGAGGCACCAACUAAGAGCAACCUAGCAUCGCGUAGCCGCCCUCGGGGCGCUGAUGGCCGGACGCCUCCUGGGAAAGGCUUUAGCCGCGGUGUCUCUCUCUGUGGCCUUGGCCUCUGUGACUAUCAGGCCCUCGGGCUGCCGCGGCAUCCCGGCGUUCAGGUUCAAAAGUUGAACGAAGCCAGGUUCCUAAUGAGAAAGUGGGCUGGCUUGUUGAGUGGCAAGACUAUAACCCUGUGGAAUACACUGCAGUCUCUGUCUUGGCUGGACCCAGGUGGGCAGAUCCUCAGAUCAGGUGA